rnacentral:tRNA from 1 species
AAGGCUUUAAGUUAAAUAAACUCAUAGCCUUCAAAGCUAUAAAUAUAGGGAUAUCCUUUAAGUCUUA